rnacentral:misc_RNA from 1 species
AACCUUGGACCAGCUGUAUGGAUUGAGAUGCAAUUUAGGUAGGCUUCCUUUAGGCUUCCCUUCCUCAAAGUUGAAUGGUCCAUGUUCAUAAACGAAUCCAUCAAAGCUAGAGCAGCCAGGUCCGCCAUUAAGCCACAAGACAACGGGAUCUUUCAAUGGAUUUCUUUCAGAAACAAUGAAGUAGUAGAAGAGAUUCUUCUGGUCGAAGCUCAGAUAGCUAUAAGAAGAACAAAAAAUCACAGAUAAAGACAUUUAUGUCCUCAUCAAAACUUACAGCAACAUAUAUCAAAGAAGCAAGCUAGGGAACGACAAGACUUGCCCUGAGUGGUGUUUUGAUGGGAAAUUUCCAUUGAAACCAGGUAACCUGGUGACGAGGGAACCUUUUGGAGCAGCUUCAGUGAAUGCCAAUAACAAAAUCAUACAAAAAGUGGCCAAGUUCAAGUUAUCAAUGACCAUGAUCACAGUACUCCUGAUGAUUUCUCUAUAAAGCCUCCUAUAGGUAUAUAACACGUAAAGGGUUUCUAUGAGAGAGAAAAAGAGAGGUGAUGAGUUUGAUUUGGGUGAACAUGAGGAGCCUAUAUAAGAUUAAAGCACUGAAAAAAAAAAAAAAGCUAAAGAAAGGGUUAAAAAUUCUUUCUUUUUGGUCAAUGAAAGAGAAAGGAAGAAAAAAGAAGUGGGCAAAUAAGGCCAAAAUGGGAAAAAAGAAUUGAAAGGGAAAAGGGAAGACCUUGAAUUCCAUGAUUACUUGGAGUUUGGUUAAUGGACUUCGUUCAAUCAUCACCAAAUAACUGCAGGAGAAUGAGGAGGAGGAUUUUGGAGCGUAUUGGAUCAAGAGAGAAUUUGGUAUCUUCACAUACUCCAUUGAUAUACCUACAAAAAAGAAGUCUCUAAUGCUAGUUAAAUAUGACAUGUCGUUUAGCUGAUAUUUACGAUGGAGGUAGGGAUCUACCAAAGUAUGAACAGACAAAGAGGCACUUUGCCUGAAAUGGCUGGUGGCAGGCAACGCAAUGAGAAAAGGAAAUGAUCAGGGCGUACGUCAAGACCCACCUCCCACUUUCCAUGAAAACCAAGAAUACAUAUCCAGUCUUUCCG